ensembl:lncRNA
AUGAAAUCAUGUAUGGGAAACCUUACGAGUCUCCUGAACCGUAUCCGAAUAUACAUGUUACCGGUAAACAGGUUGGCAAAGGUAACCAAGAAGGGGUUCAAAGAUUUAAACUUACAAUUACAGGCCACAACCAAAAUGACCCUGCAAAACAGAAUGGCUCUGGACAUGCUUUUGUUAAAAGAGCAUGGGGUAUGUGAAUAUUUGAAAGAUAAGAUUGAUCAUUGCUGUGUACAUAUUCCAAAUGUAACUACAGAUGUAGAAAAUGACAUAUCCCAACUAGGUCAUGUGGAACAUAAGCUAGAGGAAGAAAAGCAAGAAGCUGAGCAAAAUUGGUUGGGAGCAACUUUUGAGGGACUAGGCCUUCAUCUGGAAGGAUGGCUCAAGUCNGUAAACAGGUUGGCAAAGGUAACCAAGAAGGGGUUCAAAGAUUUAAACUUACAAUUACAGGCUACAACCAAAAUGACCCUGCAAAACAGAAUGGCUCUGGACAUGCUUUUGUUAAAAGAGCAUGGGGUGUGUGAAUAUUUGAAAGAUAAGACUGAUCAUUGCUGUGUACAUAUUCCAAAUGUAACUACAGAUGUAGAAAAUGACAUAUCCCAACUAGCUCAUGUGGAACAUAAGCUAGAGGAAGAAAAGCAAGAAGCUGAGCAAAAUUGGUUAGGAGCAACUUUUGAGGGGCUAGGCCUUCAUCUGGAAGGAUGGCUCAAGUCCCUCCUACAAACCAUUGUGCUGCUGCUAAUUGUAUUCCUUGCAAUGGGAGUAAUGUUCUCAUGUGUGAAGGGAGAAAUAGUUAGGAGUAGUGCAUGGAAUCGCCGAAUAAUUAAAGUCCUUACCAGGGAUCACCCAGAACACCCUAUCCCAUUUACUCCACCCCCAUCUUAUAGUACUGGCAUUAAUAAGUAGGCAUGGAGGUAUCAAUAAGAUAGUAGACUAACGAAGAUACAUUAAGCUAUACUUACUAAUCUCUAUAUCAGGUUAUACUUACUAAACUCUACUAACCUGAUUCAACCUAAUAAUAAUGAAAAUACUUGCCCUCGGUAUGAGUGAAGUAUUUUCAAAGGGGGGAAAUGUUAGUGUUAGGGAGAACCAAAUGGAUGUUUUAUUGAUGUCUCUUAGGUGAUGGGUCAUAAAGUAUAAUAAGCAUUGUCAAAUGUAUUUACACUAACAAUUAAUCUAUGUAUACUGAGAUAUUUAGGGAGUAUACCAAACAGUCAAAUGAAUCUUUGAAAGGGAACCCUGGGAGGGAACAGGUACAACCUGACCUUUGAUAAGAACCUGAAAAUGCUGAAAUGAGUUGAACCAGAACCAAGGAGCGGAGAGAGCAUGCGUCGAGUGAGAAAGGUGAAAAGUUUAGCAGAGAGGAAGACUCCUUACUUCAUCUGGACGACCACCUGGACGACCACUGGAGGGCACCACGCAUGUGCAAAUGGGAGGAGAGCUAAUUAGAAUGGAAUGCGAGGCUGAUGUUGCAACCUGUAAUGAAUAUGUAUACCUUACGUAAUGUUGAAUGUAUAAAUAACGGUUGGGAUGUAACGGGACUUGAAGCCAGAUUUGGGCACCUGCCCCGGCUUCCAGCGCUGAAUAAAG